CCAGCAUGCAGAGCGUCUCUCUACGUAUGUCCUGCAGGCCACCUAAACUGAGAAAAACUCACAAUUUUCUCAUUUUUAAAUGAGUGAAUUCAAAGAAGAAAGUGUCUACAUGUGCCAGAGAAGGGAGGGUUGUGCCAAUGAAUAAUUGCCAUUGCCAUUCUUCCAAGGAGAAUCAAUUACUGUAUCAAUGGUAGCUGGCUGCAGCUCCAGCAAAGAGAGCGGGUAAAGGAGAGAAAAGAGAAUGAAUUGUCAGCAUUAUUGAAAAGAUUCAUGGUUAGUCACACUCACUCCAGGC
rnacentral:lncRNA from 1 species